rnacentral:pre_miRNA from 1 species
UCUUAUAGAUGAGCAUAGAAAGCGGUUUCUUGAAAUGGAAACUACUGCUAGUGAAGAUGCUGUGAA